GGUCUCAACCGUCAAAUUUAUUCAAUUGGAGCACAUUUUCGAACCCCGUUAACGGCAGACCGGGUUGGGAGAUUCCUGCCUUUGACUUCUAGCGAACGUUUCAUUGUCCGUUAUGUCCCGUGAGACGACGGCCAUAAAUAAUAUUCAAAGCAGCCUAGGUCGCGUCUUUCUCUACCGGUCUACUAAACCGUGGCCCAAGGAAACCUGGACGAAAACAAACAACCCUUGCUAGGAGGAAACGAAGUCUUUCCGCUGAAUGCCACGACCAAUCCCAAAACGCAAUUAUGCUAUUCUACCAAAGAUGGACGAAGUUCCAAACUAAGAGUUCCAUACAAAUUUAAUACACAAAGUUAAAUAACGUUUAACAUUAACAUUUCAGAUGAGGGAUGAAGAUGAUAGGAUUAAGAUUGUAGAAUUAAUAUUAUAUGAAGCAAGAGAAGAUUUAAUCUAGAGGAAAGACAGAGUAUUCGAAAAUCGACCUGGUAAACGGGGACAGACGAAGUUCGAAACUAAAUCAAGAGUUCGAUACAAAUUUAAUAGACAAAAUUAAAUAACAUUUAACAUUAACAUUUCAGAUAAGGAAUGAAGAUAAUAAAAUUGAGAUUGUAGAAUUAAUAUUAUAUAAUGCGAGAGAAGAUUUAAUUUCUCAGAGGUUCCAAAGAGAAUAUUCCACCCCACUGAGAUUAAUUUCUUCCUUUAGGCUAUCUUACUCUAAGGAAACUAAAAUGCUACUUUCUUCUUCCAGGAAAGGCAGAGUAUUCGAAAAUCUGACCUGAUUAACGACGACAGACAAAGUCCCAAACUAAAUCAAGAGUUCCAUACAAAUUUAAUACUCGAAGUUAAAUAACAUUUCAGAUGAGAGAUGAAGAUAACAGAAUUGAGAUUGUACAAUUAAUGUUACAAAUUGAAGGCCCGACAAAAUUUAAUCUAAAAGAAAGCCAAAGUAUUCGAAAAUCGACCUGGUUAACGGCGACAGAAGACGCGCGAUGAAACAAAGGAAAACGUAAACUAUCCAUCGGGCAAUGUCGAUGCGAACUUCGUUGAAAUUCUUCAGGCUCGCAUUCCACAAUCGAUUAGAGCGGUGCCCUCAACGUCUUCGGCCGAAGAGGAUGAAAAAAGUCUUUGGCAAAAGUCGAAGGAAGCCUUCGAAAUUCCGAGCACAAUCACAACAGUAAAUAGAAAAGCUGCGAGCCGAAGGGUCAAGGGGGGGGGGGGCCCCCAAUGGAAACACGUGCCAGGAACCACUGUGGAUCCUCGAGACUCAAGACAUCACCGACAACUCUUAUCAACGAUAUUCGAUACGCAAACGAUGGAUAAAUAACAUCCGAUUCGCCGAUUAUUAGAUAACGAUAAAAAUUUAUGAUGCGAUACGCGAAAUAAGAAACUAGAAUGAAAUUAGAAUGAAAUUAGAAUGAAAUUGGAAUGAAAUUAGAAAGGAAUGAGAAUUCAUGUUGUAUGAAGU